rnacentral:rRNA from 1 species
AUUGAACGCUGGCGGCAGGCUUAACACAUGCAAGUCGAGCGGUAGCACAAGAGAGCUUGCUCUCUGGGUGACGAGCGGCGGACGGGUGAGUAAUGUCUGGGAAACUGCCUGAUGGAGGGGGAUAACUACUGGAAACGGUAGCUAAUACCGCAUAACGUCGCAAGACCAAAGAGGGGGACCUUCGGGCCUCUUGCCAUCAGAUGUGCCCAGAUGGGAUUAGCUAGUAGGUGGGGUAAUGGCUCACCUAGGCGACGAUCCCUAGCUGGUCUGAGAGGAUGACCAGCCACACUGGAACUGAGACACGGUCCAGACUCCUACGGGAGGCAGCAGUGGGGAAUAUUGCACAAUGGGCGCAAGCCUGAUGCAGCCAUGCCGCGUGUGUGAAGAAGGCCUUCGGGUUGUAAAGCACUUUCAGCGAGGAGGAAGGUGGUGAACUUAAUACGUUCAUCAAUGGACGUUACUCGCAGAAGAAGCACCGGCUAACUCCGU